rfam:Medicago truncatula strain A17 chromosome 3, whole genome shotgun sequence.
AAACAGCCCCCUAUGUAUUAGAUCUUUGGCAGUUUUGGCCUCCAAGGCCACUUUUGACUUAGUCUUUGCUGACGUGGCACCCACAAUGGUCGACACGUGGCACCUCACUUAAGGGAUGUGGGUGCCACGUCAGUGAAGACUAAGUCAAAAGUGGCCUUGGGGGCCAAAACUGCCAAAGAUCUAAUACAUAGGGGGCUGUUU